CCUCGAUUUUCUCCCAUACACUCCCAAAUCCCGAGUUUACCUUCUUCCCCAACUUCUUCUCCAUUUUCUCUCUACCUGCACAUUAAGCAAAACCCACUAAAAAAACAUAGCAACACAAUUUUUCCUCGUACAAUACUCACAUAUCCCAAUUCCCCUUUCUUCCUAAAUUCGUCUUCUCCAUUUUUGUUCUUACUGCAAUUGACCAUUUCAAUUUUCCCUCAGAUUUUUGUUCUUCCAUAUUUUUCCUAUUUUUCAUUGCUGUGCGACAACAUCUCAGCUGGGCGUGAACUCUCGCCGUCGACCACUACUUCUUGUGUCAUAUCUAAUAGUUCUCUUCAAGAUGGUAAGUUUUUUCUCAACCCUCCCACUCUCUGAUCUCACACAGUCUCUACCCCCUUUGUUUUUAUCUUUGCAGCCCACACCUUUUAAUCUAUUGUUGGUGUUGAAUGCUAAAUAAUUCUAUUUUAUUUUUAGCAAGAUAUGUUCGAGCUUGUAGGAGCACCCCUUGUUGAAAAUUAUUUGGCUGGAUUCAAUAGUUCUGUAUUUGUGUAUGGAUAGGUAUUUUUCAGUUUUCAUUUUUUCUUUUUUGUUCAAGGUCUUGCUCGAACUUGAACAGAAAUUUUAGGUUGUCAUCAUACAAUAAUUCAAGCCACCAAUCGAGAGUCUUAAAAUAAUCAUUAAAAUGGCCAAAACUUGCUGUUAAAGCUUGAAGAAAUCAUCCCACGUGUGUGUGUGUGUGAGAGAGAGAGAGAGAGAGAUAGUGAUGCCAUGUAUAUUUGGAGCAAGAGCGCAUGGGUUUCAGUCUCAUGACAAGAAAGAUCAAACAUGCAUGUGGGAGAGAUCGUGAACUUUAUCAAAAGGGGACAAUAGACGCCAAAUGACACUGUGUUUUCCCCCAUAUUGCAUGAGCUUUCAUCCAUAGCAAUUCAGAUUUCUACGUCCUUGCAUGUGAUCUCUCAUAUCUCUGUAUGCAUCAUCAUUUCGUUAUCAAAUUUAUGGUGUUUGGGACCAGCUAUCCACAGGCUGAUCACAACAACGACCCAAACUCCUUCCACAUAGACCACGUUUAUCCCCAUUGUCAAACUACAUAUAUAUAUUAUAUUUCGAAUUUUGCAAUUAUUUAAGUCCAGUUUAUAGGCUUCAUAAAAUAAUUUUAAAUUUUACUAUUAAUUAAUAUUAUUGAUCAGAGUUGUUUUCUCUAUAUUUUAGACAAAAUCUUUAUCUCCUCUGUUUUGAUUAUUUGUUAAAACUAACUGCUAAAAUUAAUUUAAAUUCUGUCCCGCAUAAGGUAGCCAUCGGUUGGCCACCGCCAGCUUGUUACUAGAUAUGAUCAAGACACCACAAGUUGGUUCAAUUGUGAGCCACUACUAGGUUGCCUAGAUCAAGCAAUGAAGAAGCUACUCUUGCAAGAAGAACAGUACCAAUGUAUCGGUGGCUCAAAAGGCCAACUCCAUUGUGGCCAGAUUGGGCCACUAGUCCCGUAUGAGCCACCACUAGACUCACAAGGCUCUCUUCGUGAUGGCUAAAUGGACUUUCGUUACAUUUCCCUUCUCGGCCAGCUUGGGAAGGCGACGCCAGAGCAGUCAAUCUUAUCCACUACCCAAUGUGGCCCAAGUUGGAAAACAAUGACGCAACCACACAAAAGUGGAAGAGGCAAAUGAAAAACUCCCUGUAUAGUUUUUUGGGAGUAUCUGUGUUAUAGUAUCGUUCAGGAACAGAUGCAUCACCCAGAAUUUGGAUGGUAUGCGAAGUUUAGUAGCCUUUAACUUGUCGGAAACAAAUUGUCCAUGGCCACGUGGAACUAAAAGCCAAAA